CAGCAGCCGCGGGAAUACGGAGGGGGCUAGCGUUGUUCGGAAUUACUGGGCGUAAAGCGCACGUAGGCGGAUCGAUCAGUCAGGGGUGAAAUCCUGGAGCUCAACUCCAGAACUGCCUUUGAUACUGUCGAUCUCGAGUUGGGAAGAGGUGAGUGGAACUCCUAGUGUAGAGGUGGAAUUCGUAGAUAUUAGGAAGAACACCAGUGGCGAAGGCGGCUCACUGGUCCGGUACUGACGCUGAGGUGCGAAAGCGUGGGGAGCAAACAGGAUUAGAUACCCCAGUAGUCCCUGUCUCUUAUAC
rnacentral:rRNA from 1 species